UCCUUGAUUCACGCGGCUUCUCAAACACGCUCUUAUAAUACAUCCUUUCUCUUUAAUCAAUCCUUAAACCCUAAUUUCAAUUUCAUACAUCUCUGCCUGUUUCAUCGCUGUAUCUCUCUCUGUUCCAUUACAACCUAGAUCUCAGUCUAAAGCAACCAGCAAAAGGGUUUCUGCUUUCAAUCCAUUCGUCUUUGGCUUUUUGUUUCAACGAUUUGGCGAUUCUUCUUUUGAUCAACAAUAUGUAAGGGUUUUUAUUGUGAAGAGGUUUUGUUGAUGAGAAUGUUAGAUAGUCAAGGCCAUGGGAUUUCAAUCCUUUCUGAUCAAUGGUGAUUUUCAGAAAAUCAUAAAUCUCAAAUCUGGGAGCUCUAGGAGUUGAGUUCAAAGAAAGAUGAAAGUCAAGCUAUUGUGGUUUCUGAACAAGUUGACCCGGUUCCUAAACAACUAACUGAUAUCUUUAAUUAUAUGUUUGAUUCAAAGUCAUAAACAAGUGAGGCGCAUAAGCAGCGAGUCUAAUUGAGGAGUUGGAGAAAAAGGCAUGACACGUGAAAGGCUGUGAAGAUAUUAAAGCCCAUGCGUCAAUCUUUGCUGGAAAUGAUUAUAUCUUUGGAACCACAAUGCUAUUGACAAAGUUGGUAACAGAAGGAAGGCUUUGCUAUUAGAUAUUGCCAUCGUCACAUCAAAGCCUUCUUUCUCUCACCGAAACCAUGUAGACUUUUGACCGCUGUAGCCAUCAUCGUAGAUAGACUUUUGACCCGUGUGGCCUUCUUCGUAGAUAACUCAUGGAACUGAGCAAUGGGAGUCAACAUGUCACUAGCAAGAUCCUGUCGAAAGUUAUUGAGUACUGUAAAAAGCACGUUGAAACGAUGAAAACGAGGGAAGGUAACUGGUGAGGCUCUAAAAGCUUCUGAUUCAGAGUUUGUGGAAGUGGAGCAUGGAUCGAACGACUCUUUUUUACUUAAUUCUGGGUACAUUUAUUAUACUCAACGCUGCUGUGCUAGCUCCUACUACUACAAUCUCACCCACAAAACCUCAAUCCACGCCAUUUGCAAAAACAACUAACAAAAAAAUUCACAGGCCACUGGUAUGUUAUUCUUAGUUUGUAACCUACUAAGUUUACGUAUUUUAUUACCUUUUGAUUAAUUUUUAUUAGGGGUAGAGAUUGGAAUUUGACCUUUCACUAACUUCACAAAAAAACGUAAAGUAGUUGAAUGGUUGAUAUUUCGUACUUAGUUUUAAGCUGGAAUAAAAAAGAGUAAGCUAUCAUCAAUCUAUGUAGAUGCAUGAUGAAAAAAAACCUUGAGUAGAUGUUACCUUUUACAGCUAAAGUUGUUAAUACAUUUAACUUAUAAGUUAUCUUUAUAGGUAGUUAUGUUGACCCACUCACUUAUGAAUGUGUUGUUAUGUUAUACUUCUAGCACUUCUAGCGGGUCAAGCUGGUAGUAGAGAAUAAAAGCUUUCAAUAACAAGUUUGCACAGAACUGAUUAGAAUCAUUUUUCAAACCUGUUCUUAGCACGUAUGUUUCCAUUAAAAGAAAGGUAAAGUUUCAUUUGAAUUUUGUUGAUUCUUUUAUCUUACUUUGUGUAUUUCUUCUUAAGUGUUAAUAAGUUCAGAUACAACUUAGUUAGCAUUGGUUUUCCAUGGUAGUAGCCUUUUUUUCAAUUAUCACAUUGAUUCCUCUUACCAUUUGUCUUCUUGAGUACGAUAUGGAACAAGUUAGAAAACAAACCUAAUCUAUUAGCUUUGACUUCCUUUUUCAAACUUUGAAUCAAAUUUUGGUUUCUGCUUCAACCUUUGAAGGGUGAUAAUGAGUGGAGGUGGGGGCUCAUGGAUUGGUAUGAUACUAUGAUGUGAUGAAAGAUGGAUGUGCGGAGGGGUUGUGGUAGGUGGCAAUGAAGUGUAAUUGUGGUUAUUGUUGAAGAAGGUGGUUAACAAAGGUUUGUGGUCGUUAAUGACUGUGGUGGCUGGCAUCGGAAAUGCUAUAUCGUUUCUUUAUAUUAUUCUCUAAAAUUUUGAGAUAAAAUAUGUAAUUAUGUAUAGAGGGUGGGAUGUGAACGCUCAAAAAACUUGAACAUGAGUGUGACGAUCAGCCUAGAGUAUCAUUCAAAACAUCAACCUCUGCUACGUAGCAAGUUCAUUGAUUUUGUCGGGUGGUUCAAGCUGUCCUUAAUACAAAUUUAGUGGAUAAAAAAGAAAGGUCAAAGAGCUGCUAUAAGGGUUGACAUUGUGUGUGUUAUCAUAAUGAACGCGUUGUUUUUCUAUUAUAAAGUAUUAUUGGAUAAAAAAGACGGGUCAAAGUUUUGCUUUCCAAAUUGAAAACUUAUGCAAAUUUAGUGUCCCAGAAAAUUAUUAGCGCUUCUAAGUUUGUAAGGCUUGACUACGAUAUAUUCCGUUUUGAUUAUUUCCCUCAUAACAAGUGAUCUUUAGACUCUAAGAAGGUUGAGCUCAUCUUUAUAAAUGUAAUUUUUAUGACUGAUUAUUACUUUGUUUCUUUCUAUUUUGAUAAACAUGUAUACAUGGGAUGGCAUUGACGAGAGUACCGAAGCCGCGGGAUCAGGAAUAGCGGUUUAGAAUCGGUGAAUAACGGAUAUGGAUGGUUCAUCGUUGGAGGUUGAUCACCAUAGGAAUGAUGAUAUUGAUAGUAAUGCCUGCAUCGGAGGAGAGUCUAAAGGAGGCUGCGGCUGGGGAGGAUUCUCCCGCUUCACCAGCUCAACCCGUUCAUUCUCAAGUACUGCUGGAACAAGAUGGCUUACCCCAAAGUCAACUAAUUCGUCUCCUGAGGGUCAGGAUGGAGUAUUUCCAUGCUAGCUGGUGCGGGGACUGUGUGCUAACAAGGUACUACGUCAAUGCCACUAUAUUUUGAGUUGGAAGACUCUGAACGGAAAAUGAGGAGUUGAAUGAGAAUGGAGAAGAA
rnacentral:lncRNA from 1 species